UGCUCCGACGCCGGCAACUUGGCAUCAUCCACAACUUGGCAGACGAUAGGUGAAAGCUGCGAGGAUGCUGGACUGUCGGUCACUCUGACGUCGCACAUUGGAGGUUCUAUCGCUCCCCAUGCUGAAGGGGUCUUCAGGCUCUGCAAGGGGCUGUUGCAUUACAUAGCUCUCUUCGACAACUUCCUUGCACACUUCCUCUUCAACGCCACUGUCUUUAUCUUCUUCUUCAUCUCCCUCCUCAAAGACAGUGCUCAGGACCACCUUUUCUGGGUACCCGGACAGUCUCACAGCAUCUUCUUGCUCCACAGCGCUGGUGCAAGAGCCUGCAGUAUUUGCUUGGCUCCAUAUCUGGCCCUGCUGGCGAGUAUCCUCCUUGAUCACCUUCACGUCUUGCGCAGCUGGCUGAUCUCCCAUAUCAAAAUCAAUGGACAUAUCCAUUGACAUGGACUGAUCCGCCCUAGCCGACAUCUCUGACAGACGUGCCAACAAUCUACCUCCGAUGAUAUCCUGCUGCACAGGCUUUUCACACUCAACCUCCUUCAGUCGCUGUUGCAAAGCAAGGAGUUCUUGCUGCUGCCUAAGCAUUUUCUCUUCCAUCUUCAUGAGCUCAGUCCUCAAACUCUGGGUCUUCUCCAUGACCUUUGAGUUGAUCUCUUCCUCUUUUGCAGCUGCUCCCUGACCUUCAAUCAGCUUGAGCUUCGCCCUGAGCUGUGCAAGCUCCUCUUCUUUUUUCCUUAGCACACUCUGGGCCUCAUUGCGCUCUUUCUCCCUUAGCUUGUUCUCUUUCUGGAGAUUGUAGAUGAACUGGUUCAUCGCAACAAUUCUUGAAUUGAGCAUUGUAGAUGACUCUUCAGAGCUCAUUUUGUCCCUUGGGGUUGCAGCGUGGGCAGCACGGAUAAUGCACUUCGCUUUAGCACCAUACUCCAAUGUAGAAACUGUCUUGUGCAAUUCCUUUGGGUCAGGACUUGCACAGAGAAUCAUCAAGAUUUUUGAUUUGUCGUCCUCAAAUGAAUCCUGAAAAUUCAUGGAAGAUCAUAGGCGUUACAUUAGCAG
rnacentral:lncRNA from 1 species